UCCUACGGGACGCAGCAGUGGGGAAUAUUGGGCAAUGGGGGAAACCCUGAAGCAGCAACGCCGCGUGGAGGAUGAAGGUUUUCGGAUUGUAAACUCCUUUUGUUAGAGAAGAUAAUGACGGUAUCUAACGAAUAAGCACCGGCUAACUCCGUGCCAGCAGCCGCGGUAAUACGGAGGGUGCAAGCGUUACUCGGAAUCACUGGGCGUAAAGAGCGCGUAGGCGGGAUAGCAAGUCAGAUGUGAAAUCCUAUGGCUUAACCAUAGAACUGCAUUUGAAACUGUUAUUCUAGAGUAUGGGAGAGGUG
rnacentral:rRNA from 1 species